rnacentral:rRNA from 1 species
CUACGGGGGGCAGCAGUGGUGAAUAUUGGACAAUGGGCGAAAGCCUGAUCCAGCCAUGCCGCGUGUGUGAAGAAGGCCUUCGGGUUGUAAAGCACUUUCAGUGGGGAAGAAAGCCUUGGGGCUAAUACCCUCGAGGAAGGACAUCACCCACAGAAGAAGCACCGGCUAACUCCGUGCCAGCAGCCGCGGUAAUACGGAGGGUGCGAGCGUUAAUCGGAAUUACUGGGCGUAAAGCGCGCGUAGGCGGUCUGAUAAGCCGGUUGUGAAAGCCCCGGGCUCAACCUGGGAACGGCAUCCGGAACUGUCAGGCUAGAGUGCAGGAGAGGAAGGUAGAAUUCCCGGUGUAGCGGUGAAAUGCGUAGAGAUCGGGAGGAAUACCAGUGGCGAAGGCGGCCUUCUGGACUGACACUGACGCUGAGGUGCGAAAGCGUGGGUAGCAAACAGGAUUAGAUACCCCGGUAGUC